AGGCAGUGUAUUGUUAGCUGGC
rnacentral:miRNA from 6 species